rnacentral:rRNA from 1 species
UACGUAGGGGGCAAGCGUUGUCCGGAAUCAUUUGGCGUAAAGAGCGCGUAGGCGGUCCGGUAAGUCCGCUCUGAAAGUCCGGGGCUCAACCCCGGGAGGCGGGCGGAUACUGUCGGGCUAGAGUCCGGAAGAGGCGAGUGGAAUUCCUGGUGUAGCGGUGAAAUGCGCAGAUAUCAGGAGGAACACCGAUGGCGAAGGCAGCUCGCUGGGACGGUACUGACGCUGAGGCGCGAAAGCGUGGGGAGUAAACAGG